ACCACCCACUCGACGCCGCCUUGCCUCACCACUGCUGCCGGGGGCCGCCUCGUCCUCCGCCUCUCCCCGCCGCCUCCACCUCCUCCGCCGCCACUGUGUCGUCCCCGUCCCCGGCUGCCUCCGCCUCCGCCUUCCCCUCGCGCAGGGUGCAGCCGUCUCCGCCUCCUCCACCGCCGUCGCCGUCAACGUCGCUGAGCACCGUCUCCGCCGCCCGCGUUCCGCCACCGUCCCUCCGUGCCGUACUAAGAGUAGGUGUAUAUGCCUCUUCCUCCCCCUCGCGCUGCCGCCUCGGCCUCCCCGUUGCGCCGUCGCUGUCGCCGAGCAGGGGCUUCAAGGCGGACGCGGAGAAAGCGAGGAGGUGAGUGCUCCUCUCCUCUUCCCUUCUCGGUUCUCUUAUGUCUGCGAGGAACGGUGCCUCGUCGCCGUUGUCGCCGUCGUCCCGCUGGCUGGCACCGCCCUUUCCCCUCUCCCCGUCGAGUCAUCCUCUCCGACGCGGCCCCUUCCUCCUCUUCAUCGGAUGGGGUGAGGAGCUCGGCAGCGGCAACGAGUUCGACCUCGGCAGACCGGGCAACGACGUAUUUGCUAUUAUUGUGCAGAAGAAAGGGGACCGAUAUGUAUGCAAAUGCAGACUUGCAGAGAGAGAAAGAGAGAGAGCCAUGGCGCAUCGUUCCCCCUUUCAUUUCACUUUACCUCUUGCAUUUUUGCUGCAUCUCUGGCCCUCAAGGCGGCUGCUGCUGCUUGGCCGGUGCGCCUCUUUAAUUCGAUAUAUCGAUCGUUUCUUUUUCAAUGAUGCCUUAGUUUUAAUAUUUUACAUUGUGUGUCUGUUAAUUCAUCGGCGAUAUGAUCUCAUGGCCGGCUGCACAUUGGCUCUGCCAGAAUCGAUUCAUUCGAGUAUUGCAUAAGCUAUAUAUGCUAUGGCACUUCAGUGAUGACAAAAGCUACAAUUAUUCAGUGUUGUCGUUCUCUCCUGCAGGAAAAAUACCAAGAGGUAUAACCUCUUUGUAAAUCUAUCCGCGGUCCAUUCUUCAUGGUGCCAAUCCUCCCUUCUCAGAGGGUAAUUCUUUUCUGAUUCAUAUGGUGCGAUGACUUACCGUGGCACGCCGUGAAAAGCUGAGAUUGGCAGAUGGCUCAUUGGGUGUGAUGCCGGCAUGUCGGUUCUCAAUAUUACUGGAGUGCAAAGGGGUGCGAGCAAGGCUACAUUGGACAAGGCGGUGCAACUAUGAGCCGGGAGAAUGAAGAUGCUUUCAUGGAUAUGCUGGUCAGUCCUACUUUGUCAGCUCAAUUAAUGUGUCAUUCUUGUUCAUACUUGAUUAAUGAAAUUGUAAUUUCACAUGGAAUUUCAAUUACAUGGAACAUCAACCUGGAGUUUAACAAGGUUAGGUUUUAAUCACACUCCAUUUUAAUGAGGUUGGCUUUUUGUUAGCUUCUAGAUCCCAUUGAAAAUCGUUAUAAAAAUGAGGAGGUCAGAGCUCAAGCCACGAGGGAUCUUUCUAAGUGCAUUGUUGACCACAGGAUGGCUGCCAAAUCAUUACCCACGCCUGAGCAAUAUGCUGUUGAAAGGGAGUGCACUAAAGCCGAACAAUGGCUAUGGGAGAGGUCACAACUCCAGGAGUCCCUGCCCAAGAAUGUUGAUCCUGCCCUUUGGUCCCAUGAAAUCAACAAAAAAAAAACACGAGUUGGACAUGUUUUGUAGAAACAUUGCAAGGCACAAGGGUUCUCCAGCAAGAGCGGAUUCUAGCGGGGUUUCAGAUCACAUGCAUAAAACAGAUAGAGGCUAGACAUUUCUAGGAUUUCGUAACUGAACAGCGUUGUCAAGCCUGACAUUUUGUAGCAAUAUACAGAUGAGCGAGUUUCUGCUGACAGUCUUAUACGAUCCGACUCUGUACCACAGUCAGCCCGCCAUCGGGUGCCUGCAUCUUGAUAAUCCCAGAGGUGCGGUUUUCACUUGAAAACCCUACUACUAAUCAUGAUUGUUGAUGCUUGUGUAUUCUUUUACUGUAAUCGACUCAAGGGCUCAAGGCUGUUGUCUGCAUUUUUUCUUGUGAUGAACAAAGAAUGGAAGACGCCAUUGAUAA